rnacentral:lncRNA from 1 species
AACUUCAUUAUUGAUUAAGGUUUCCCACAUGCAUUUUUUUCACAAUAUUUGUUUACUAAUUUCGUGGGUUUAAUUAAUUGAUUCAUCUAUUUGUCGGUGACUCGUAUCAUUUAUUUUUUUAUAUAUUUCGAAAAUAGUGAUUUCAAAUGGCUAAAUUGCUGCAUGGGAAGUGCCGCAAUAGUCGAGUAGGAUUCUCUCUCAUCAUCUUCUCAUUCAUUUUCAUCUUCUCCUCUUACAGAUUGCUUGUUGUUUUCUUGUGGCUGUUAAAAAACUAACACAAAACAUUGACUUGACUUAACCGCAACCAUUCAAAUAGGAGUGGAGAGCAAGCUCCGGGCAAUGGCACAACACAUGUCAUUUCCUUGGCCUGAAUUAUUGUAUCUCAAUGUUGGUUGGUGUCUUGGUGGUGGCAAUUAGGAUGCAUCCAUGUAAUAGUCCAAAUAACAUCUCUUAUAUAUAUUGGUAGUGCUAAUGUACUCAAGAUAAAGUAAACAGUAAUGAUAGGCAAAUCAUUUAUUAGAACAAAUUCAUAAAUUAUGUAUGUGUCAGUAAUAAAAAAUAAGUAUGUCAAUCAAUACUUUAAUAAUAAUUUAAUUAUCAACAAUCACGUUAUAUGAUUUAUAAAUUAUGGUUUAAAUAGAUGGCCUCUCUAACAUUACCCUAAAACAAAUAAUUGAAAAUAUAUAUAUAAUGUAAAUAAGAAAAAUAAGAAAGCGUUAUAAUUUUCUAAUAACAAUUGGGUGACUUUUGAUAUAUUGGGUUCUAAAAUGGAAUAAUAUUCAUCAUCAUUUGUGUUUUUUUCCAAGCUAAAGAACAAAAACUAUAUAAAUUGGGGAAAUGAAUUACCAAAACACUAAUACUAGCUAAUUAUUUCGUUAGGUAUAAUGGGCAUUAUAUGUCACAGCCCGUCCCAUUAUUUAUCGAGGACGUGAAAUGACGGAAUUACCCUUGACGGGUGCUAAGGUAUGUGUGUGUGACAUAUUAUUGGACUAAAUACAUACAUUCCUAAACUUUUGGAAAAUUAUUUAAGUUGGAUUAAAAUUUGGGUUGUAAAUUUGUGUGGUUAGGGAAUGAAGUUGUGACUUGUUUUUGGGUGGACCACACAACACACACAUGGGACAACCCUCUCCCUUCCCCCGUGCUCUCUCUCUCAUCUCCGUUUCAGUCUCUCUCUCUCCCUCUCGAAAUUGUACGGACAAAGGGCCAAGCCCUUGAAUUUUCACGGAUCGACGCCAAAAAGCUAAGGUUCUUCAUCCUUUUGACCUCCUGAGUUGAAUGGUACUAGUUUUAGAACGGGAAACCUUAGAAACGACGUUUAAAACCCGAGGUCCGAUUUGAGUACUGUUCAUGCAUUCGUGAUGUGUUGAUUUUCAGGGAAUUCUAAGCUUAUAGUGAGCUUAGUGAGGUCCUAAGGAAGCUCGGAGUACUUAGUUUGAAGGUUUUGGACGUCGGGAUCGUUGAGUUCGAAGUUGGCCGGUUUUCUUGGAAUUUCUCCGGUGAGAUUUCGUAGUUUUAGAGCCUUAAAGUAGUGUAACAUGAUUCUACAUGCUUAGGGCUUCAUUUUGAUAUAAAACACAUGAAAAAUGGUUGAGAAAUGACGGAGAACAAGGAGAUUGAAAAAUCUCCAGUUUUCCGGCCAUCGGAAAAACCAGUCCGGCGAGCCCAAGGUAGGAGACACGCGUGGGGGCGCGUGACAAGCCCAAAAAUUAUUUUAAAAAUAUGCCGACGUUCGUGACGUCGAGUAGGUCACUAUGGUAUAUUCAUAUACCCAAAUUGAGCAUCGUAUGAGAAAUUAUUACGAAUUGUCGGUUAUGUGCUUUAAAUAACGUUGUUUUAGUUGUUUCGCAUAUAAGUGAUACCUAUCCUGAGGACGAGCGCAUCCAGGGACGUCACGGGGGUUACGACCCUUCGAUUUAUCAGU